AGAAGGAUAAAAGCAUGGAUGCAUCUAGCUGCUUGCAUUGCUUAUUUAACUUAAUAUUAGGAGAUCCGUGGGAGAUAAGUUGCUGGGCUCUACUUGCCUUCACCUCCAGAAAUAUCAAGAGAGGCUGGGAGGCUAGCGGAGAAUUGCAUUGACGAUAUCGAUGGCAAUCAUCAAUCCAAUAUCCACGACGCUUUCAACUAAGUUGCAGUGCCCUAAUGGUAGGCCACUACCAUUUACAUGAAGGCUUAGGUUAGCAUAUCGAUGUUCAUGCUUUGGUUCUACGCUCUGCACAUCAGUGAUGGGUAGGAGCAGCCUAUGAUCGAGUCACAAGAAAAAGUCCCAAUACAGAUGUACGUCCAGCCUAUGCUAUUGUCUCAUUUGAGGAGAAAAACUUCUUUGAAAACUGAGACCGCUCAAGAUGGUAAUUAGUUGUAGUUCCAUUUUUUUUCUUUCUUACAGAAUAUGAUAUACACUAUAUAAAACAAUUUAUAGCCCGAGAAAGUAAUACUACCAGAGGCCUAGAGGUCUGGAUAUCAGGGGCAUGAGACAACCUGGGAUUGUUCAGGGCAGCGCUGCUGGACACGUUGGUCCGCAAGCCAAACCUGUCGCUGUCCAGUUCAAUAGACUAGGAAAAUCAGGACCUUCAUACAUGCACUUGAGGUAUGCAAU